CAGCAGCCGCGGUAAUACGAAGGGUGCAAGCGUUAAUCGGAAUUACUGGGCGUAAAGCGUGCGUAGGCGGUGAGGUAAGUCUGCUGUGAAAUCCCCGGGCUCAACCUGGGAAUGGCAGUGGAUACUGGCUCGCUAGAGUGUGUCAGAGGAUGGUGGAAUUCCCGGUGUAGCGGUGAAAUGCGUAGAGAUCGGGAGGAACAUCAGUGGCGAAGGCAGCCAUCUGGGACAACACUUACGCUGAGGCACGAAAGCGUGGGGAGCAAACAGGAUUAGAUACCCGCGUAGUCCCUGUCUCUUAUAA
rnacentral:rRNA from 1 species